GUGUGAAGUGACUUGAGAAUUUUAUCCUGAGAGAUGAAGUGUGUAUGUAUUAUCAACAGACACCAUUUCUGAUCCAUUACUCUAUAUUCAUACAUUUUCACAUAGGUUAACAAUUGCAACAAUAAAUAAAUAAAUACAUGAGCUAGAAACAAAAGUACAAUUAGGAUAAAUUACAUAUCCUGAUGUCAACCGUUUCAUGCAUUUGAUGUUGGAAACAAAAGGGAAGACACCCCAAACCAAAUCAAACCAACAGAACUCAAUCAACUAGGCUUGAUUUUCCUCUCAAGUGCCUCCAUUUUUAGCUCAUAAAGACCACUUUCAUUCAGCUAUUUUGCUUAAUAAGCUUUGCAGAUUAACCAUAAAAAGGUAAUGGAAUAAUUUUAUAGUAGAAACAGUUAUAAAAACAAAGAAAAAGAAAUAACACAUUAAAAGAGAAAAAUGAAGGGAUUAUGUUGGUAAAACAUGAGCAAUAGAUUAAAGAUGCGGCCUACUAUGUGGAUUUUUUUUUUCUAUAUAUUAAUGGAUAGGUUUUGGAAGGCUGGAUUGGAGGGAUGGGUGGCCUCUAUGCUUGUGAUAUACAUAGAGCGGGGCCAAAGUAAUUUCCCAGGUGAUAAGAUCCAAAGAAAUCAUUCUUGAGCCCCUUUUAUGGCUCUCAAAAGUUCGUCUUCAGAAAAAAUUCUUUUUAGCACAUAAUAAGUCCCCUCCACGUACAAGCUCUCACUAGAUCGGGCUAAGAUGGCUGAGGUAUUUGCCGCAUGUAGUUUUGCAGGAUGUUUCCCACCUUGAAAUACAUCUUCAC
rnacentral:lncRNA from 1 species